AGUCCCUUGCUAACGGGUCUUCGCGAGGACCCCCGAUUCUGAGAGGAUUGCUAAGCCGCCCUCUAAUCCCGUCAUCUCCCUUCUCCUUCGCACCUUCGCGCAUCAACCGCAGCAACUGCAGCUUGCUCCUCGUCCCUUUCGCACCUUUGCCAUUUCCUUUCUCCUUCCUUGUCACUCCACCUUGUAGCCGUCCAACAUAUAAACAAUCGAUGAUGGACCUGUAUCGCUGGUGAUGGUCUGAUCAGUGUAGUUGAAUGAUGCUGUGCAUGGCUAUCUGCAACGCAAUGGGCACUUGGGUUUUCUCCGUAGCAGGGGCUUUGUUAGCAAUUCCAGUGGGGAUAAAAAGGAAACUUUAUCACCGCUUGUGUUCUUCGGCACAACAGUUACCAUGCUUGACAUUAUAAUGGGAAUCACUCGGUGUGAAAAAGAACAUGCAGAACGCCAAGCGAAGCUAUUAGAAGCCCAGACUUCUGCAACUGAUGCUUCAUUUACUGAGACUGGGGCGGAAACAUAGUCUUGACUCCUAAGCAUAUGCAUCAUAUGCCCGUGUUUGGCUGCUGUCAGUUUUCUUUUCAAAUUUCUUUACCGUAAAAGUUUAAUAGUCGAACCUGUUGAAUGACCCCUUUGCUUGAAUUCUGCCUUCCCUUUUUCAUGGGUUAAUAAUCACACGAAAGUUGUUAAUGACAUAACGUCGGGUUU